rnacentral:rRNA from 1 species
AUUGAACGCUAACGGCAUGCUUAACACAUGCAAGUCGAACGGCAGCACAGCAGUAGCAAUACUGUGGGUGGCGAGUGGCGGACGGGUGAGUAAUGUAUAGGAAUCUGCCUUGUAGUGGGGGAUAACCUGGGGAAACUCGGGCUAAUACCGCAUAAUCUUUACGAAGCAAAGCGGGGGAUCGUAAGACCUUGCGCUAUAAGAUGAGCCUAUAUUGGAUUAGCUAGUUGGUGGGGUAAAGGCCAACCAAGGCGACGAUCCAUAGCUGGUCUGAGAGGAUGAUCAGCCAAACUGGGACCGAGACACGGCCCAGACUCCUACGGGAGGCAGCAGUGGGGAAUAUUGGACAAUGGGGGAAACCCUGAUCCAGCAAUGCCGUGUGUGUGAAGAAGGCCUUCGGGUUGUAAAGCACUUUUAGUGGAAAGAAAAGCUCAAAGCUAAUAACUUUGAGCCUUGACGUUACCCACAGAAAAAGCACUGGCUAACUCUGUGCCAGCCGCCGCCGUAA